UGCCAGUGAUAAACUGGAGGAAGGUGGGGAUGACGUCAAGUCAUCAUGGCCCUUACGAGUAGGGCUACACACGUGCUACAAUGGCGCAUACAAAGAGAAGCGACCUCGCGAGAGCAAGCGGACCUCAUAAAGUGCGUCGUAGUCCGGAUUGGAGUCUGCAACUCGACUCCAUGAAGUCGGAAUCGCUAGUAAUCGUGGAUCAGAAUGCCACGGUGAAUACGUUCCCGGGCCUUGUACACACCGCCCGUCACACCAUGGGAGUGGGUUGCAAAAGAA
rnacentral:rRNA from 1 species